rnacentral:rRNA from 1 species
CCCAAAAUUUGCGUUAUCGGAUUACUGGGCGUAAGCGCACGCAGGCGGUCUGUUAAGUCAGAUGUGAAAUCCCCGGGCUUAACCUGGGAACUGCAUUUGAAACUGGCAGGCUUGAGUCUUGUAGAGGGGGGUAGAAUUCCAGGUGUAGCGGUGAAAUGCGUAGAGAUCUGGAGGAAUACCGGUGGCGAAGGCGGCCCCCUGGACAAAGACUGACGCUCAGGUGCGAAAGCGUGGGGAGCAAACAGGAUUAGAUACCCCGGUAGUCCA